rnacentral:rRNA from 1 species
UACGGAGGGGGCUAGCGUUGUUCGGAAUUACUGGGCGUAAAGCGCACGUAGGCGGUUUUUUAAGUCUGCUGUGAAAUCCCCGGGCUCAACCUGGGAAUGGCAGUGGAUACUGGAAAGCUAGAGUGUGUCAGAGGAUGGUGGAAUUCCCGGUGUAGCGGUGAAAUGCGUAGAGAUCGGGAGGAACAUCAGUGGCGAAGGCGGCCCCCUGGGCCGGCCCUGACACUGAGACGCGAAGGCGUGGGGAGCGAACGGG